UGGGGAAUAUUGCACAAUGGGGGAAACCCUGAUGCAGCAACGCCGCGUGAGUGAUGACGGCCUUCGGGUUGUAAAGCUCUGUCUUCAGGGACGAUAAUGACGGUACCUGAGGAGGAAGCCACGGCUAACUACGUGCCAGCAGCCGCGGUAAUACGUAGGUGGCAAGCGUUGUCCGGAUUUACUGGGCGUAAAGGGAGCGUAGGCGGACUUUUAAGUGAGAUGUGAAAUACCCGGGCUCAACCUGGGUGCUGCAUUUCGAACUGGAAGUCUAGAGUGCAGGAGAGGAGAGUGGAAUUCCUAGUGUAGCGGUGAAAUGCGUAGAGAUUAGGAAGAACACCAGUGGCGAAGGCGACUCUCUGGACUGUAACUGACGCUGAGGCUCGAAAGCGUGGGGAGCAAACA
rnacentral:rRNA from 1 species